rnacentral:lncRNA from 1 species
UGCAAAUUUUCCAUUUGUGUGGUUUGGAUGGUUCUCCACAAUAUAAUAUAUCUCCACAAGCAUAAUAUUAGAUUUACUUCAUGUUUUUUACAGAUAAAUCAAUUACAGAUAAAUUAAUUAGUUAAUUGGUGGAACGUCUUCUAAAGAUAGAAUACACAAAAUUAUGCUGAGAGUAUUUUCGAAAAGUUAUAUGGUCUCUAUGGAUAUGAAGGGCAAAGGUGGAAAAAUGUGUUUUAAGAACACUAAUCUAUAUGGCAUUGAAAAAGAUGUGCUUUCAUAAGCUCUUCUUCUAUUGUAUUCAAUGGACCAAAAGAACCCUCGGUUAAUGGAACAUUGUUUGACU